CUGUUCUAUCAUUCUCCUUCCUAAACUGGACAGAGGAGAGCGAGAGAUAAGGAAAGGCUCCCGGGUUAAGGACGGGGAGGUCACUCAGCACUCAAAACACUGGGCUUGGGGAGAACUGGUUUGAUUUAUGGGCUCACAGGUCUCACCGGGAAGCUGCCCCAGCGUGGGGCACAGUCUCCUUUGGACACACCCGCUCUGGUGUGGGACCUGCCUGGGCUGCAGCUGGAUCUCAGCUCCUCCAUGGCUCCAGGGAACCUUUGCUCCCGCGCCCAGAGCGCAUCCUCCUCUCCCUCCACUGACCUGCCUUGUUCUCACCCCCAGCCCGCUGCAAGUUCAUCAGCUGCGCAGUAAUUGCUUCCUCCUCCCAGCUACGCAACUCCCAGUUGUUAUCAACUCGCCAAGGGCACGUCCAUCUCAUCUCAUCAUCUCAGAUGCUCUCUCGGCUCUAGAGGAAGCUUCCAACAGCUUUUCUCUGCAGCCGUUCUCGUAGCCCGCCGGCUGCCAAAACUCGGUCGCACCAGCCCGCUCCAGGAGCGGUACGGAGGGCAGAGAUGCCCGAUAUCCCAGGCAUGGCCCUUGGAGGCACCGCCGGAGUAGGAUUGGUCCUCAUUGGCAUCCCAGCUUGCACUGGGCUUUACAGGAGCUGGCAUCGUCGCUGGGUCCGUGGCUGCCAACGGCGGAGGAGUGGCUGCUGGCAGCACCGUGGCCGUGCUGCAGUCGGUCGGAGCUGCAGGUUUCUCUCUUGGCACCAAAAUGGGACUAACAGCUACCUUUGGGACACUCGGUGCAGCAAUUGGUGACAAACUUAGAGGCAAGAAAAGCUCUCGGAAGUGAUUGAGCCCGAGGUUCCUGCCCAGUAGCACAGCAGGUACUGGGAUGAACCCACAGACCCCUGCCAGUGUUUCAUCCCACCUCUCUCCAUACCUUUUUGAGCCUUGAGUGCACUGAAUAAAGGUGAUUUGCA